GGCAACGUGGCUGAGUGGUUAAAGCGUAUGACUAGAAUUCUAUAGUGACAUCAUAUCCCUUCGGGGUCGUAGGUUCAAAUCCUGCCGUUGUCG